rnacentral:rRNA from 1 species
GACGAACGCUGGCGGCGUGCCUAAUACAUGCAAGUCGAGCGGACAGAAGGGAGCUUGCUCCCGGGAGUCAGCGGCGGACGGGUGAGUAACACGUGGGCAACCUGCCUGUAAGACUGGGAUAACUUCGGGAAACCGGAGCUAAUACCGGAUAGGUUCUUCCUCCGCAUGGGGGAAGAUGGAAAGACGGUUUCGGCUGUCACUUACAGAUGGGCCCGCGGCGCAUUAGCUAGUGGGUGGGGUAAUGGCCCACCAAGGCGACGAUGCGUGCCAGGCCGGAGAGGGUGAUCGGCCACACUGGGACUGAGACACGGCCCAGACUCCUACGGGAGGCAGCAGUAGGGAAUCUUCCGAAAUGGACGAAAGUCUGACGGAGCAACGCCGCGUGAGCGAAGAAGGACUUCGGGUCGUAAAGCUCUGUUGUUAGGGAAGAACAAGUGCCAGAGUAACUGCUGGCACCUUGACGGUACCUGACCAGAAAGCCACGGCUAACUACGUGCCAGCCGCCGCCGUAA